AAUCACGUAGUCUAAAUGGAAAGACGCCAGCCUUUAUGGAUAGAAAAUGUGGGUUCAAAUCCCACCGUGAUUG